AGUGAACGCUGGCGGUAGGCCUAACACAUGCAAGUCGAACGGCAGCACAGUAAGCGCUUGCUCUUACGGGUGGCGAGUGACGGACGGGUGAGGAAUACAUCGGCAUCUACUUUUUCGUGGGGGAUUACGUAGGGCAACUUACGCUAAUACCUCAUACGACCUACGGCUGAAAGCAUGGGAUCUUCGGACCUUUCGCGAUUGAAUGAGCCGAUGUCGGAUUAGCUAGUUGGCGGGGUAAAGGCCCACCUAGGCGACGAUCCGUAGCUGGUCUGAGAGGAUGAUCGGCCACACUGGAACUGAGACACGGUCCAGACUCCUACGGGAGGCAGCAGUGGGGAAUAUUGGACAAUGGGCGCAAGCCUGACCCAGCAAUACCGCGUGGGUGAAGAAGGCCUUCGGGUUGUAAAGCCCUUUUGUUGGGAAAGAAAAGCAGCAGGUUAAUACCUCGAUGUUCUGACGGUACCCAAAGAGUAAGCACCGGCUAACUUCGUG
rnacentral:rRNA from 1 species